AAAGACUUGACGGUACUUCACAACAACCUAGAGGAGCCUGUCUAAUAACCGAUACUCCACGAUUAACCCCCCCCACUCUGGCCCAUCAGUCUAUAUACCGCCGUCGCCAGCUCACCUUGUGAAAGAAAUAGAGUGAGCAAAAUAGACUCACCCUCUAAUACGACAGGUCGAGGUGUAACUCAUGAGUGGGUAAAAAAUGGGCUACACUUCCUAAAACAGGAAAAUAACGGAGAAACUAUGAAAGUAGAAACUGAAGGUGGAUUUAGUAGUAAGAUAAGAAUAGAACGCUUA
rnacentral:rRNA from 1 species